GAUGAACGCUAGCGAUAGGCUUAACACAUGCAAGUCGAGGGGCAGCACAAGGUAGCUUGCUAUCUGGGUGGCGACCGGCGCACGGGUGCGUAACGCGUAUGCAACUUGCCCUAUACAGGAGGAUAACCCGUCGAAAGACGGACUAAUACUGCGUAUGCUCACAACUUGGCAUCAAGUGGUGAGGAAAGAAAUUCGGUAUAGGAUAGGCAUGCGUCCCAUUAGCUUGUUGGUGAGGUAACGGCUCACCAAGGCAACGAUGGGUAGGGGAACUGAGAGGUUUAUCCCCCACACUGGUACUGAGACACGGACCAGACUCCUACGGGAGGCAGCAGUGAGGAAUAUUGGUCAAUGGGCGCGAGCCUGAACCAGCCAAGUCGCGUGAAGGAUGACUGUCUUAGGGAUUGUAAACUUCUUUUAUACGGGAAUAACAAGAGUCACGUGUGACUCCCUGCAUGUACCGUAUGAAUAAGCAUCGGCUAACUCCGUG
rnacentral:rRNA from 1 species